rnacentral:tRNA from 5 species
CGCGGGGUGGAGCAGCUUGGUAGCUCGUCGGGCUCAUAACCCGAAGGUCGUCGGUUCAAAUCCGGCCCCCGCA